UCCAUCCCAGGAAUCCACCCUAGGAUCCACCCCUGGAACCCAUCCCAGGAAUCCAUUGCUGGGAUCAAUCCCAGGAAUCCACCCCAGGAUCCACCCCAGGAUCCAUCCCAGGGAUCAAUCCCAGGAAUCCAUCCCAGGGAUCCACCCCAGGAUCCAUCCCAGGAAUCCACCCCAGGAUCCAUUCCAGGAAUCCACCCCAGGAUCCAUUCCAGGGAUCCACCCCAGGAUCCAUCACUGGGAUCCAUUCCAGGGAUCCACCCCAGAAUCCAUCCCAGGAAUCCAUCGCUGGGAUCCACCCCAGGGAUCCACCCCAGGAAUCCACCCCUGGAACCCAUCCCAGGAACCCAUCCCAGGAAUCCACCCCAGGAAUCCACCCCAGGAAUCCAUCCCAGGAAUCCAUCCCAAAAUCCACCCCAGGAUCCAUUCCAGGGAUCCACCCCAGAAUCCAUCCCAGGAAUCCAUCGCUGGGAUCCACCCCAGAAUCCACCCCAGGAUCCACCCCAGGAUCCACCCACACCACCCGCCACGGUUGCUAAAAGAAUAAACAACAAAACCACAAACAAACAAAACCCACAAAAAAAAAAAAACAACAAAAAAAAACAAAACAAAACAAAAAAAAAAAAAUCCAACUCGGCUUUGGUCUUGCUUCUAUAAAUAUAUAGUGUAUACUUGGUGUAGACUUUACAUAUAUAAAAAUUUGUAGUAUUUUCUUGUUUUGAUGUCUGAUCUGUAUCUAUAAUGUACCCUAGUAGUGGAACAUACUUCUGACUGUACAAUUGUACAUUUGUAAACCUCUGUAAUGUAAAUGUGGAGAAGUUUGAAUCGACAUAAAACCCGUUUUUUGGUAAGAAAACAGGAAAAAAAAAAGAAUUUAGCAAAACCUGUGCAUUUCAGUGUAUAUUCACACCUUUUAUGGUCGUAGCAUAUAGUGUUGUAUAUUGUAAAUUGUAAUUUCAACCAGAAGUAAAUUUUUUCUUUUGAAGGAAAUGUUCUCUUUAUACAGCCUAGUUAAUGUUUAAAAACAAAACAAAAAAAAAAAAAAAGGAAGAAAAAUAAACUGCUUGGUUUUAUUUGUCA
rnacentral:lncRNA from 1 species